GAAACAAGAAGCUUGGGACAAAUUCCAGUGGAAGAGUCUCUAUUUUGAGACUACUAAGCUUUCUGACC
rnacentral:sRNA from 12 species